GAAACGAAAGAAACGAAAUUUAUCAAUGAUUUUACAAACGAGUUUCGUAAAGUUUCGUUAUUCUACGUUAUUAAUAAACAGCGGAUAUUUAUGCAAAUUCACAUUGUUAUGAACAUAGUUAAGAAGAUGAAACCUAGGAAUAAUCUAGCACAAGGUACGGUCUACCCGUGCUAGAUUGCAUGGAUAUUUUCACAGAAUGCGCAUACGGGAAAAUCCGUUAAGUCUAAAUAUACUCUGAUGGUAACACUGUGCCGCAAUAUCCGUUCCUCUCGUUCAGCUAUCAGCAGUCAAGAUGCAGUUAUUUUCGUUCGAAAUACACUGUGACUUCGAUCAUUUUAAAAUGUUUGAUUAAUCUACCAGACGUUUAUGAGAGAAGUUAAACAGACUGUUACCCGCAUAGAUCAACAAGUUUAAUAAAGAAACCCAUCGUUCAAACUCGAGCUUGAUUUCUGCUUUUGCAGUAAAUGCAAACCUUGCUUAUGUUUUGGAAACUCCACCGAAUAUCUACAGUGACUCACGCGUGUAUUCAAACACCUGCCAUAGAUUAUUUGUUAGAUAUAUAUAUAUAUAUAUGUAGAAUUCGCUGUAGCGGUACCGGCAGUUUUUUUGCGAAUAUCUCGGAAACCAAGGUCGAUGCAUCGGUUACACGUAUGAGAAAAAGUUGCCUAAAAUGUUAAUUUCUACAACGUAUUCAAAAAUUAUCGAAAUCGGUCAGGUGGACGAGAUACCGAUAAUUACCAUAAAUAUCUGUUAGGUCGAUAGAAGAACUCUUUAUUUACUCGCGCGAUAGUUUAUAAAUCUUUUUCG